UACGGAGGGAGCAAGCGUUGUUCGGAAUUAUUGGGCGUAAAGCGCGUGUAGGCGGAAAAGCAGGUCAGGAGUGAAAUCCCUUGGCCCAACCAAGGAACUGCAUCUGAAACCAUUUUCCUCGAGUACGAUAGGGGAGGGCGGAAUUCCCAGUGUAGAGGUGAAAUUCAUAGAUAUUGGGUAGGAACACCAGUGGCGAAGGCGACCCUCUGGAUCGAUACUGACGCUGAGACGCGAAAGCGUGGGUAGCAAACAGGAUUAGAUACCCUGGUAGUCCACGCUGUAAACGAUGUGCACUAGGUGUUGGAGGUACUUAAUCCUCCAGUGCCGCAGCUAACGCAUUAAGUGCACCGCCUGGGGAAUACGGCCGCAAGGUUAAAACUCAAAGGAAUUGACGGGGGCCCGCACAAGCGGUGGAGUAUGUGGUUUAAUUCGACGCAACGCGCAAAACCUUACCUGGGCUUGACAUGCUGGGACUAGUUCUGAGAAAUCAGAGCGAUUGCCUUCGGGCGUAACCAGCACAGGUGCUGCAUGGCUGUCGUCAGCUCGCGUCGUGAGAUGUUGGGUUAAGUCCCGCAACGAGCGCAACCCUUACCAUUAGUUGCCAUCAUUCAGUUGGGCACUCUAAUGGAACUGCCGGAGUCAAACCGGAGGAAGGUGAGGAUGACGUCAAGUCCUCAUGGCCUUUAUGCCCAGGGCUACACACGUACUACAAUGGUCAAUACACCGGGCAGCAAGCUCGCAAGAGCAAGCAAAUCCCUGAAAGCUGACCCCAGUUCGGAUUGGAGUCUGCAACUCGACUCCAGGAAGUCGGAAUCGCUAGUAAUCGCGGAUCAGCAGGCCGCGGUGAAUACGUUCUCGGGCCU
rnacentral:rRNA from 1 species